UUUUCCUUUAUUACAUGCAUAAUUAAGUCUUACACUUUGCCCAAGGUGUAACGGCUCAUUUGUAGGGCCAUCCAUUUAGUUACAUUUCGCAAUUAUUCUUAUCAUCAAUGAAGGACGGCUUUUGCAAACAAUUUUGUGUUCUUUUUCUUUCAGAUUUUUUUUUUACAAAAAAAAAAAUGGCAAUGUUUCUUUUUUUGUUUUUUCUUUCUUUCCAAAAAAAAAAAUCUCUCAUUCUAAGGUAAAGCAUGAUCCUCCAUCAUGCAGAGCGGACCACCCGGAUCUCACUACUAACGAC
rnacentral:lncRNA from 1 species